rnacentral:lncRNA from 1 species
CUCUUUCACAGAACUUGGCUCUUCUCGAAAUCCUUAACUGAGUUUAUAGUUUGCCAGGAGUAUGGUUUGAGAAAACCAUGUCAGACUCAUGCAUUCUAGAAUCCGUGAGGGCCUCCAACCAUAUAUCCAGAAAGGUUGCAACGAGCUCAUUACCAAGAUCGAUAACCAUUGUGGAUGUUCCAAAGAGCAGAGCACUUAACCCAAAAUCUAAAAUCUCAGUAAUCAUAGAGAUGCCAAUUUGAGAUCAUGCCUAUUAACAAUAUGUUAUUCUCACAACUUGCUUUUGUCAGCCAGGUGUUACAUUAACUAUUCUCAUCUAUAUGCUCAUAGAAGUCAUCAAAUCAGCACAUUUACUGCAGCACCUGGGCAUAAAGGAGAAUUAAAGCCUUGAGAAGAAUGACUUUAUUAUUCAGUAAGAACAGCAUUCCCACGUCCUGACACCAGUAUCUUCCACCGUUAUUGUGUAGUCGUAAUAAGAGUUGGGUUAUGUGAUUUUUGCAAAAGCGUUAUUGGUGCUUUCAAAUGCUUUUUUCCCCCCCAGGAAUUCAAAUAAGUGAAGUGCAAAUACUUGGCACCUUAGAUUGUAAAAAUAGAGGAAAUGAGUAAAUUUAAUGUAGUUCUUGUACAGUUGAGUUUUGCUUCUUUAUAAGCUGUCAUCAUCAGGGGUUGCUGUUUAGACUGCUGAACAAGAGUGCACGAGUGACAGAUGCUCAGAGGCAGGUUGUUGCAAAGUGUUUCAUUAACUUUGAGAAUUAAUUUGAUAGUCUAUUUGGAAAAAAAAAGAAACAAACCUCCUUCUUUUCCCCCCAAAAUCAGAGAAAGCACAUACAUUUAUGCAUUUUAAAGACAAAUACUUUCUCAAAAUCUGAGGUUCUCUGAAAAUCAGCUUCUCAAAAGUGCCGUUUUUUGG